GCCCCGGUAGCUCAGUGGAUAGAGCGUCUGCCUCCGGAGCAGAAGGUCGCAGGUUCGAAUCCUGUCCGGGGCACUA
rnacentral:tRNA from 1 species